GAUCAUGGCUCAGGACGAACGCUGGCGGCAUGCCUAACACAUGCAAGUCGAACGGAACAGAUUUGAGAGUUACUUUGGAUCUGUUAGUGGCGGACGGGUGAGUAACACGUGGGUAAUCUGCCUGAAAGACCGGGACAACAGGGUGAAAACGCUGCUAAUACCGGAUAAGCUCAGCGGGACGGAAGUCCUGGGGAGAAAAGGAGGAAUCCGCUUUCAGAUGAGCCCGCGGCUGAUUAGCCAGUUGGUGGGUAACGGCCUACCAAAGCGACGAUCAGUAGCCGGCCUGAGAGGGUGUACGGCCACACUGGAACUGAGAAACGGUCCAGACUCCUACGGGAGGCAGCAGUGGGGAAUUUUCCGCAAUGGGCGAAAGCCUGACGGAGCAAAUGCCGCGUGAGUGAAGAAGGCCUUCGGGUUGUAAAGCUCUGUCUUCAGGGACGAAGAAGUGACGGUACCUGAGGAGGAAGCCACGGCUAACUACGUGCCAGCAGCUGC
rnacentral:rRNA from 1 species